ACCACGUGAACGUGUUGAUUCCUCAAACAAGUUCUGUUUUUACCAACUUUUAAUUACAUACUAGCACUUGGAUUUAUUUUUUAUUGAUGGUAUUCUGCAUUCACGAGGCAAAGCUGGACUUGUAAAGGUAAUUAGUCGUUUUAUGCGACAAACUUUUUUUUCGACAACCAACAUGUCGAAUAUUUAGCUGCAUUUUCCAACUGCCCUGAGUUUCUUCACGGAUACAGCAGAUUUUUAGACCAAAGUGUUUGAAAGACAAGAUUUGGUGUGCCACGUCUGGUGAUCUGAUAUGGCACAGACUCCAUGGUCACGUGACUGAAGAGGUAAUGAGAUGAAAACAGUGAUCAAAGCCAGCUUGUUUUCAACUCAGAGUUUGAGCAAAAGUGGAACUCUUUCUCUUCUAGAAGAUGUUGAGAUCAUCCUUCAUGCUUAAAUUAUUUGAAGCCACCCCCCGAUCCGCCCGCCAACCCCCCGGCUCUUUCCCUUCUCUGCGGGACUGUCAACACAUCUCAUACAUGCAGGGAUAAUGGGAUUGCAGAGCACCAAAGACUUACCGCAGGUCCUGUCAACUGGCAUUACUGGAAGUUGCUGUCCCUAGAAAGUUGACCACAACUAAUGAGUACUUUGAUAGAUGAAAAAUCUGUUAAAUACUGAAACAAAUACCUAACCAUCCAGAUUGUGAUUAUUUAGCUGUCAGCUUUUAAAUUUCGCUCAAAGAUGUUUUAGGCACAAUCAAGAGCCAAGACAAAUAAGAUGUUCAUUGACUUUUUGGGGGGAUUUAUAUGACUUGAAGCUACAACACUGCAAUUUCCAACACCCAGGUUUAAUAUAUUUUGUUAAAAAGUCAUUAAACCCUUAGGACUGCAAGCAGCACAUGGUAAAAAUUUCCUGAUUUGAACCAGUGACUGACUGAUUUCAGCUUUCAGAUUGGGUCUUGUAGUUUGCUAACUUAUCAAAACUUGAUGAUGUGCUCUGUCGACGUGUUGACUUGGUGGAAUACUGGAUGAUGCUGAUUUAGCUUUGCAACCGUU
ensembl:lncRNA